rnacentral:rRNA from 1 species
GUCGAGCGGCAGCGGGAAAGUAGCUUGCUACUUUUGCCGGCGAGCGGCGGACGGGUGAGUAAUGCCUGGGGAUCUGCCCAGUCGAGGGGGAUAACUACUGGAAACGGUAGCUAAUACCGCAUACGCCCUACGGGGGAAAGCAGGGGACCUUCGGGCCUUGCGCGAUUGGAUGAACCCAGGUGGGAUUAGCUAGUUGGUGAGGUAAUGGCUCACCAAGGCGACGAUCCCUAGCUGGUCUGAGAGGAUGAUCAGCCACACUGGAACUGAGACACGGUCCAGACUCCUACGGGAGGCAGCAGUGGGGAAUAUUGCACAAUGGGGGAAACCCUGAUGCAGCCAUGCCGCGUGUGUGAAGAAGGCCUUCGGGUUGUAAAGCACUUUCAGCGAGGAGGAAAGGUUGGUAGCGAAUAACUGCCAGCUGUGACGUUACUCGCAGAAGAAGCACCGGCUAACUCCGUGCCAGCAGCCGCGGUAAUACGGAGGGUGCAAGCGUU